GAUGAACGCUGGCGGCGUGCCUAAUACAUGCGAGUCGAGCGAACAGACGAGGAGCUUGCUCCUCUGACGUUAGCGGCGGACGGGUGAGUAACACGUGGAUAACCUACCUAUAAGACUGGGAUAACUUCGGGAAACCGGAGCUAAUACCGGAUAAUAUAUUGAACCGCAUGGUUCAAUAGUGAAAGACGGUUUUGCUGUCACUUAUAGAUGGAUCCGCGCCGCAUUAGCUAGUUGGUAAGGUAACGGCCUACCAAGGCAACGAUGCGUAGCCGACCUGAGAGGGUGAUCGGCCACACUGGAACUGAGACACGGUCCAGACUCCGACAGGAAGCAGCGGUAGGGAAUCUUACGCAAUGGGCGAAAGCUUGACGGAGCAACGCCGCGUGAGUGAUGAAGGUCUUCGGAUCGUAAAACUCUGUUAUUAGGGAAGAACAAAUGUGUAAGUAACUAUGCACGUCUUGACGGUACCUAAUCAGAAAGCCACGGCUAACUACGUG
rnacentral:rRNA from 1 species